AUUGAACGCUGGCGGCAUGCUUUACACAUGCAAGUCGAACGGUAACAGGCCGCAAGGUGCUGACGAGUGGCGAACGGGUGAGUAAUGCAUCGGAACGUGCCCAGUCGUGGGGGAUAACGCAGCGGAAGCUGUGCUAAUACCGCAUACGAUCUAUGGAUGAAAGCGGGGGACCGUAAGGCCUCGCGCGAUUGGAGCGGCCGAUGUCAGAUUAGGUAGUUGGUGGGGUAAAGGCCUACCAAGCCGACGAUCUGUAGAUGGUCUGAGAGGACGACCGGCCACACUGGGACAGCGACACGGCCCAGACGCCUACGGGAGGCAGCAGUGGGGAAUUUUGGACAAUGGGCGCAAGCCUGAUCCAGCAAUGCCGCGUGCAGGAAGAAGGCCUUCGGGUUGUAAACUGCUUUUGUACGGAACGAAACGGUCUGGGUUAAUACCCUGGGCUAAUGACGGUACCGUAAGAAUAAGCACCGGCUAACUACGUGCCAGCCGCCGCCGUAA
rnacentral:rRNA from 1 species